rnacentral:rRNA from 1 species
UGGCUCAGGAUGAACGCUGGCGGCGUGCCUAACACAUGCAAGUCGAACGGAAUUUACAUGAAGCCUAGCGAUUGUAAAUUUAGUGGCGGACGGGUGAGUAACGCGUGGGUAACCUGCCUUGUACUGGGGGACAACAGUUGGAAACGACUGCUAAUACCGCAUAAGCGCACAGCUUCGCAUGAAGCAGUGUGAAAAACUCUGGUGGUACAAGAUGGACCCGCGUCUGAUUAGCUGGUUGGUGAGGUAACGGCCCACCAAGGCGACGAUCAGUAGCCGGACCGAGAGGUUGAACGGCCACAUUGGGACUGAGACACGGCCCAGACUCCUACGGGAGGCAGCAGUGGGGAAUAUUGCACAAUGGGCGCAAGCCUGAUGCAGCAACGCCGCGUGGAGGAAGACGGUUUUCGGAUUGUAAACUCCUGUUCUUAGUGAAGAAUAAUGACGGUAGCUAAGGAGCAAGCCACGGCUAACUACGUG